rnacentral:rRNA from 1 species
CCCUUAGAUGUUCUGGGCCGCACGCGCGCUACACUGAUGCAUUCAACGAGUCUAAAACCUGCUCUGAUAGGGGUGGGUAAUCUUUUGAAUGUGCAUCGUGAUUGGGAUAGAUGAUUGCAAUUUUUCAUCUUCAACGAGGAAUGCCUAGUAAACGCAAGUCAUCAGCUUGCAUUGAUUACGUCCCUGCCCUUUGUACACACCGCCCGUCGCUCCCACCGAUUGAAUGAUCCGAUGAAUAUCAUGGAUUGAGGAUGCAAGCAGGUUCGCCUGUCUUCAUCUUCGAGAAGUGAAGUAAAUCUUAUCAUUUAGAGGAAGGAGAAGUCGUAACA